UACGUAGGGGGCAAGCGUUGUCCGGAAUCAUUGGGCGUAAAGCGCGUGUAGGCGGUUCGGUAAGUCGGCUGUGAAAGUCCAGGGCUCAACCCUGGGAUGCCGGUCGAUACUGCCGGACUAGAGUUCGGAAGAGGCGAGUGGAAUUCCCGGUGUAGCGGUGAAAUGCGCAGAUAUCGGGAGGAACACCAAUGGCGAAGGCAGCUCGCUGGGACGUUACUGACGCUGAGACGCGAAAGCGUGGGGAGCAAACAGGG
rnacentral:rRNA from 1 species